GGUUCCUUAGCUCAGUGGUAGAGCAGUUGGCUGUUAACCAAUUGGUCGUAGGUUCAAAUCCUACAGGAACCG
rnacentral:tRNA from 1 species